AUACAGAGGGUGCGAGCGUUAAUCGGAAUUACUGGGCGUAAAGCGCGCGUAGGCGGUCUAUUAAGUCAGAUGUGAAAUCCCAGGGCUCAACCUUGGAACUGCAUCUGAUACUGGUAGACUAGAGUUUUGGAGAGGGAAGUAGAAUUUCAGGUGUAGCGGUGAAAUGCAUAGAGAUCUGAAGGAAUACCAGUGGCGAAGGCGACUUCCUGGCCAAAAACUGACGCUGAGGUGCGAAAGCGUGGGUAGCAAACGGAAUUAGAAACCCUAGUAGUCC
rnacentral:rRNA from 1 species